AUUGCAUUAGACUGCAUAUUCAACAAAUUACAAUCAUGUGUUCAUAGAAUGGGGAAACCGACUGUCUUCAUUCUUGACUCUUGAGAAUGCAAGGGCAUCCUCCAUUAUUAAUAGACUAGCUGAGCCCCAACAAGACUGCGCGGAAUUAAUUAACUUACUUUGAGUUACGGUUUCCACAAUGAGCCGCACUAUUGCCACCAUUGGACAAGUUUCUAAUUACAUGUACCAGUACGGAGAACAGAUAUCGAGCACAACGUCUCGG